rnacentral:rRNA from 1 species
UACGUAGGGUGCAAGCGUUAAUCGGAAUUACUGGGCGUAAAGCGUGCGCAGGCGGUUUUGUAAGUCAGAUGUGAAAUCCCCGGGCUUAACCUGGGAACUGCGUUUGAAACUACAAGGCUAGAGGGUCGGAGGGGGGACUGGAAUUCUCGGUGUAGCAGUGAAAUGCGUAGAUAUCGAGAGGAACACCAGUGGCGAAGGCGAGUCCCUGGACGACUCCUGACACUGAGGCACGAAAGCUAGGGGAGCAAACAGG